rnacentral:lncRNA from 1 species
GUUUCUCCGUGCUUUAUUACAGGAUCUCUGCGUGUGCCCAUGAAGCUGUUCUGCAUUUUGAGAGUAUGGCACUAUGUCUCCAAGGAGAGGCAAGGACGUGUCUCUCCUUUAGAUCCGAACCGCCUGGAAAACAAGACCCUGGAAGUGAGACUCCCGAUUCCUGCCUCAGCCGCCGGCCCAUCUGCUUUUUCCAGUUCAGAGGCUCUGGACGUGGUCUCCAGAGGAGCAUCUGUCUUCUCAGCUGCCCGGGCUCAGGUACUGCAGCUGCAUUGCUGAGAACUGAAACGUUUUGUUCUCUUCCUGGUUUCUACUCCGUCUCCUCAUGUUACAGUUCUUCCUUCCCAUUUCUUCCUGUCUUGUAAAAAAAAAAAUACCUCUGUUCUACUACGGCCACUACUACUGCUAUUACUACUACUAACAAUAAUAACAAUAUAGCAGGAUUUGAUGCCCUUCACAAUGCUUAGCAGUGAGAAAGGAAAUCCUUCCAAAAUUGCUCAUGGAGAACUGCCGCUGCACAGGGCUGAAUCUGUACCCACCAACUGCUGCUGCCUCCUCCAGAGCAGAGUCUGGGGGAAUGAGAAAAGCACUUUCAUGUGCCUGGGUAAAAACACCCAGUGGAGGCUUAUACAAAGAGUCGGUGAGCUGGGACAGCUUCUGCAGCCCUGGUCUGAGAGAAGAGCCUAGCAGUAGUGUAAUGCUGCACGGAGCAUGAUGUACUUCCACUGCAACAUGAAACAGCCCAUCAGGAGAAGCUGAAGGAGACACUACUUCCACAGACAUCUGUGGCGAUGACUUCCUGAUUACAAGCAAGUGACACCAACCCAGAAGGGUUGUCAUUUUUUUUGGUUGUUGUUGUUGAAUGUAAAAUAUCCUGAAACAGUUAUGUAAAAUUGAGUAUCUCAUCAAUAUUACAUCUGCAACAGAUGAUGAAAACCUCCCUGCAUGGACAAUAAUCCAUUUAGUUCAUCCCGCAAGAUCUCCAGUGCCAGAUGCAGUAUCUGGCCUUUUGAUUCAGCUUUGAGAUUCACUAGUGGAAAACCACAGGCAGCCAAACAAAUCCCUGUUGACUACAUAUCUACGCAGGAGCAUACGCAAGCCACGCUCUAGGUAAGGCUGACAGUAAUUCAUUGUGGUGCUUUGCGA